rnacentral:piRNA from 1 species
UGCAUCCAUUCACAUCUCUAAC